GACGAACGCUGGCGGCGCGCCUAACACAUGCAAGUCGAACGGAGUCAAGAGGAGCUUGCUUUUCUUGACUUAGUGGCGAACGGGUGAGUAACGCGUGAGUAACCUGCCCUGGAGUGGGGGACAACAGUUGGAAACGACUGCUAAUACCGCAUAAGCCCACGGAUCUGCAUGGAUCUGCGGGAAAAGGAUUUAUUCGCUCUAGGAUGGACUCGCGUCCAAUUAGCUAGUUGGUGAGGUAACGGCCCACCAACGCGACGAUUGGUAGCCGGACUGAGAGGUUGAGCGGCCACAUUGGGACUGAGACACGGCCCAGACUCCUACGGGAGGCAGCAGUGGGGGAUAUUGCACAAUGGGGGAAACCCUGAUGCAGCGACGCCGCGUGGAGGAAGAAGGUUUUCGGAUUGUAAACUCCUGUCGUUAGGGACGAUAAUGACGGUACCUAACAAGAAAGCAACAGCUAACUACGUG
rnacentral:rRNA from 1 species